CACACUUUCAUUAACAGCACAACUCAUAGUAUAUUUACAAUACUAUUCACAACGUACUUGUCUCACACCUAUCUACACUAAGACAGGGUUUACAAAAGGGAUGGGAUCUCAGUCCACAUCCGGGUUAUACUCAAGAUCCCUUUUUGGAUCAUCUUCUUCUUCAAAAGUCUUUCUUCUCUUUAGGUUCCUCCUCCUCAGCUUCUCCUUAGGGUCCUGAAAUGGUUAUUCAAUAACCAAUGAGACCACGUCUUAGCGAGUCCUACCCCUUAAGACUCGAUUAGUAAGCCAAUACACUAUAGGCUGCCUAAACAUGACAGGAGUUGGAGGACUUACCUUGGCCUCAGAUUCCAUAUGCAUAUUAGUACAGUUCAAUAGGUAUUCAAACAAUUGCAUCACCGAUCGAAGCAUCGAUUAAAUUGACCUAGUCGAUUUCAUGUCAGUUGUAACCUUUCUAGGUCGUUCAUCCUACUUCAAGCAAUUCCUUAGAUUUAGUGGCUUUACGGUCCCACCCGACCCUCUCAAGAUCUACUAGCUUUACGGUCCCACCCGACCCUCUCAAGAUUUAGUGGCUUUAUGGUCCCACCCGACCCUCUCAAGAUUUAGUGGAUUUUCUGUCCCAACCGACCCUCUCAAGAUUUAGUGGCAUUCCGGUCUCACCCGACCCUCUCAAGAUCUAGUGGCUUUACGGUCCCACCUGACCCUCUCAAGAUUUAAUUUAGGAAUAAAUAUUAAAUUCACUCCUAAAUUACUUUAGGACCAAAUAAAGCUCAAAUAAAUAAACGGACUGCACCACGACAAUCAGCACGAAAUUCCGGUCACCGGCCAUCCCGGUUGAAUUUCCGGAAAAAUAAUUAAUUAAAUAAUUAAUUUCGAAAAUUAAAUAAAUAAUUAGAAAAAAAAUCCAAUUUAGGCCCGUAAUGCUGAAUUGGACGCCGAGACGAGCCUGUAAAAUUACCGAGACUCGUUCCAUAAAUAACAUGGCAUGUCUACUUGCUAAUGUCUAUUUCUAACCACCUAACAUGCAUCAUUAAGUCUCUAAUUUAAUUUAUCUAAACUAAUAUAACCACCUAAUUGUAUUUAACUAAAUCUAACCAACCUUAAGUAUAAUUAGCAAACUAAGAAAACUUUAGUGAGUAAGACUCACUUGACAAAAGGAGAUCGAAUCGCCACGACGGCGGCCGAAAUUGGACUUUUGACAACACUGGUGGGCUUGGACCGGGCCUUGACCUUGGCCCAACAAAUCUCAGCCCAAAUUGAGAUUUGUUACCGAAAUGGGCUGAACUUGACUGAAAUAACACUUGCUGGGCUUCUAGGGCCGCAGGACUUCAAAGGCUGGGCUGACUUGGGCCAAAACUUCUGCUGACUUGUGGGCUGAUUUUUACUUGGGCUGAAGACUCAAUGGGCUGCGGCAGCAAUUGAAGAUGUAAGCUGAAGUUUUCGUGGGCUGCUUCUGUCCAAACGUGGGCUGGGCUUGUGGCUUCGGUGGUCCAAGGAGCUGAUGACGUGCGGGUCGGUGAGGCGUGGAGCUGCUUCGAGGUUUCGGUGGGGUCUUCGCUGCUGGAGAAGACACGAACGCAGCUGUAGGAAUUUCAUUCGGUUGUCAACAAACCGCCGAGAUAUCACCGAAUUUGACCAACACGUGGACUGAUUUCGCGAGCGGACAACACGGCAGCUGCAGGGGGGAUAUCCCGUGGAUGCGGCUAAGGAAACCUCGUCCGAUGGAGGUGCGUUGACGACGAGUGGACGCGGCAGAGAUUGAAGACGCUGGGGCGGCGCUUGGCCGGAGAGGACACGCGGCACGGGGGUCAACAAGUCGAUUUUGUUGGACUCUUUCGUUGACUAGGCACGGGGAUUUUGCUGGAACGAGCUGGAGAAUUUUCGAGCAGCUGCUGGCGGGGAGAUCUCGUUCGGUGGGACUGCUGCAGGGAUCUUCGUUGGCCUUGCAGGGUUUCUUCAACGCUUCAGUAGCUUGGGUCUUCGUGGAGAAAUUGAUGACCGGUUGCUGUAGACGUGGCCAAAGCAGGAGGGAUACAGGCGUGCGGAUUGUUGGUGGGCGACAAGAGCUAGUGAAGCAGGGCGUUCGUGGAGCUGAGGAAGACACGCGGAGGAGGCUUUGCUGGGCUGGACUUCAACCGAAAGAAAUCGAGCAGAAGCUGAGACCGCAGAGUCCAAAUGAAAAGGAGC
rnacentral:lncRNA from 1 species